rnacentral:lncRNA from 1 species
AACCCCAGUCUUUCCCUUUUGGCAUAGCUUUUAUGAUGAGACCACAAUUUUACACAACAAAAUGUUACAACAAGCAACUGACCUCUCCGCAGAGGUGAGCCCUGCUGCAGUUCUUAGAGCUCAUAAAGAAGAAAGUCUUCCCUGAAGGCACCACCGUGUUGCUGAGCUGCCUUUCCUAGUGUCCUUUCCCUGGGGCUUUUGUUUCCUGUUGCCAAGAGCUGCGAUGGCAUCUUUGUGAUCAGCACACCUCGACUCCUCUCCUGACAUCUGUGACCAGAGCCAUAGCUCACCACCUUAUGUCAUGGUGUCCAAUCUGGUUGCUUUCUCUAAUUAACUGCUAUUUUAACUACACUUUACAAAGCUGUUAUUCCCAAACACACAGACAGGGAUUUCUCUGCACGUUUCUGGCCUCCUCUGUGUGCAGGUCCCGUAAGCAGCAGCUCUUUCUCGAGUGGUUCCCCCACACGUGCACCGGUGAGAUGCGGUCCUCCGCUUUAGCGUAUCAUGCCUGUUGCUGAAGCCACCUCUGUCUCGCGGCUCUUCAUUGCAGGGAACUUGAGCUGUUGAGUGCAGGUUCCAACCUACAUUGGUAUGCAGAUGGCUUCCCUAGAAAUGACUUUUAUAUUUAUUUAAAAACCUUAAAUUAUGGGAUUUUGUUUCUGUUUUUGUUGUCUUUGUUGGUCAUUUGUCAAUGUACAGUCACCAACCAAUUCUGCUCACUUCUUGCCAUGGAUAAAAUGGGUCUUUCUGGCCAAUUAAAAAGAUAAAUUUUAUAAAUGGCACUUUAAACAAGCCAUAGAUAGUUUUAUUUUUAUAAUGCACAUGGCAAGCAAAUGCAUUUGUGAUGGCGGAACUGCUCAUCCAAGUAGAAGAUUUGUGGACGGCGUGGUGUGAUUAGUCUCUGACUUGCCUUUCUUCAAAGUGUCCGGCAGGCUGAUUAUCAGCUCCAGAGCCGUGAGAAGCUGAUGCCGAGGUUCUCCCACAGGCGCCCUCCACACGGCCUCUCACUGGCCUCUCACACCUAUGUCUCCUCUCGUGUAGGACCAGGAACCAUAUGUAAUGUGAGGGUUGUACAUGCUUCCAAGUGUCAUUGUGCCUCUCCAGUUUAAGAACUUCUCUUUCUUGUAGAGAGUGGGUCCGACAUACUCUGUUUUACAACGGGAGGAUCCCGUGAACUGGCCACAUGCCACACACAUCUGCAUACAUGUGCAUGUACAGUAGUGUUGAUUAUUCCCAGCAAAACGGCAAAAAACAAUUGAUGGCCGUUGUCAAACACUGACUUACAGUAACUUAGAACAACUGUACUUCUGUUGGAUUAGCAAAUCGUGUGUUUAAACAAUCCCAUAUGUUGGGCAACAGUUCAAAUAAGCACAGAGAAACAUUGCCCAAACUUGGUUCUCUAACUCUAGUGCAUUUGUAAGGCUGGGCUUCAAAAUCAAAACACCCACCCCCAACACUGGCAGGCAAAGUGCUAAUUCUUGAAACAUGCAUGGGAAGCUGACGGCCAUUUUCAGGAAGAGCAAGCCCACCAAGAGUUGACCGUCUGUGUGUCCUAUUUAUAUUGAGCAGUGUCCCAGCAGGGAAGGGUUGGAGCCAGGACAAGAUCCCCCAGUCCCGGUGGGAGUCGGGGACUGGGCCUCCAGACACUUUCUGGAGGUAACAGCUCGCCUUCACAAAGACAGUCUUGUGGCACCCAGAACCAGGCAGACAGCCUGGGGUGCCCGGGCCCGGAGAGGUGGUUGGCAGUGACGUGCAAUGACGUGACAAGGUGAGAGUAGACUCCUGAGAGACUUAAAGGGAUGGCUUCCCCAUAACUUAUUUAUUCCUUUUUUUUUUCUGUGUAAAUAUAUUUAUUUUACUGUGGCGCUCUAAUAACAUCCGGGUGGGUAUGGUGCAGAAUGUAUGUAGGAAUGUAUUGCUUGUAGGAAUGUAGAUCUGUAUGUAUUAAAAGGGGGAGCCAAGCCAGCCCCCACCUGUCUUUUCAUCAGAUACACAGUCCACAUUCAUUCUUAACUCUCAUCUUCAAUAUGGGUCUAUUUAAAAUAUGCAAAAAGGUGUGGAUGAGGAAUGUUCUAAUACCUCCAAAUUUUUAAGAAAAUCAAGCAUAAAAAGGGUUGAUAAUUUUUUAAAGUUUUCUUAGUAGCACUUUCUCUUGAUGACGGAAGGGCAACACACAGGCACCCACCUUCAUACCAAAGGGUGAGAAAUGGCCACAGCCUCCUACACCACCCCAGUGUCUUUCGCAAUUGAGCUUUUUAUCGCCAUAGCCCCAACCAUCCUGAGGUCAAUCAAGGAAAAUUUCUUAACGACGUAAGCUCCAAAGAGCCAAAGUAUCAACUUAUGGAUCAUUUUUAAAGCCUAAAUUUCUUACCACCUUUGCAGUAGACAAUGAAUUAUGAACACUGCAAGGGCAGCCUUCUUAAAUGACAGACACAAAGACUGCAGCGAUCGCUGCUCUACUCUGUGAAUUGUCUUAACUCUGAAACCUUGCUCUUACAGAUUGAACCUUUUUACAUUUCUGAAAAUAGCAGAAAGAGCAUAUUUGACUUGUCCUAGCUGUAAGUGGUUGAUUCUUGUUGCCGCCCAGCACCCGGAUGCCAGCGGGGUCUUCGUCCGCUCGCCCAUGUGCGACUGUCUCCAGUGCUUCCAAGGGUGGCUCUACACGGCUCUCAGCCGCGAUCAAACGCUCUUGCAGACAAAGCCAGUAUAGAUUUUGGACUUUUGGGGAAUUUGGGAGAGGAGCAGUCCAUACGUUACAGCUAAAGUGUUGAACGUGUACAUGGGGACGUGUUGGUGCGUGGAUUUUGAGGAAGAAGGUGUGACCUUUCCCCACAGUCCUGAGAGCUGUGCCUUUUCUAUGCAAUAUUACAGACGUCACAUCAGAACCCAGAGGGCUGUGUUCUAAACAAUUGGACAGAUUAAAUGUACAUGGAAAUGAGCAGUCUUUUGUAGUUUUAUAUUAUACAAUAAACAGUUAAAAGAUGAAA